rnacentral:tRNA from 1 species
UCCCGUGUAGCUCAGUUGGUAGAGCAUGGUGUGUGCAACGCCAGGGUUGUGGGUUCGAUUCCCACGGGGGGAC